GGUUAUAGUUCGGUGGUAGAGCACCUGCAUCGCAUGCAGAAGGUUCCAGGUUCAAUCCUUGGCUGGGAGAGAACCU